UUGAAACUGGGGAAACUACAUAAAGGAGUAAAGCAGAACAGAUCUAGGCUGGCUUGAACACGGGACUGAUCUGUUGUCUCACUGCGGCUACCUCUGUGACCUGAUAUUAAUGAAGAGGACGAGUCAGGAGCACAGCUUCCAGGGCAGGCACAAACAGAAUGAGGUGUCCUUUGUCUUGAUGCUACACUGAGAUUAGGUAGCGGCUUUCUGAAAAUGAAAGGGCAUGGCUCAAAUUUUCUUGGAAUCACCAUCUUCAGGCUCUCACCCUCUCUCUGCAAGACAUGACCCAAACAUCUCAUCUUCCUCUGCUCUGCCUGUCCAAAGAGAAUCUAUUACAACCCCAGUGAAAAGGAGGCAAUGACUAUCCUCAGCUCCAGAGAUUUUCUGUUUCUGAAAGAUACCAAGAAAUCCACUGAAUGUUACAAAGGAAGGCAACAGGAGCAGACAGCAUAACUAGCAUCUUGGAGAACUCCUCAAAAUCCUUCAGGAUUAAGGAUACAGACACCAUACUGGGGUCUGUGUUUUACUUCUAAAGCAUUUACUUUUAGAAUGGAUCGGAUGUUUCCUCUCCAAUAGCAGGACAUACCAAGCACUUCACAGAUUGUCCAGAAAAUUUAAGAGUUAACCUGACCUUGAUGAAGAAACACUGAUGUGGGAAGAAGAUACCAGACUGGACUUUCAAGACACACUGAGUUGCUACCUGAAUCUAAACAGAAGAGUCAGCUAUUGGGUGGCAACAGGGCAUGUCUCACUGUACCCAGCAGAAACAGGAGGCUACAGCAGAAACUUCAAACCACUUCACACUGUUUCACACCCAAGGUCUAAACCCUUUGUGGCAAGUCGAGCCAGUGGAACCACUAUUGCUGGUUCAACUCUGCAGUAGCCAUGCUAAGGGGUUAGCAUAUAAGUGUCUCUAUACCCUAAUGAAACAUUAAAUCUGAUUUCAAGCUCUGUCCUCAUCGCAGCCUCCUAGGCUUUCAGUUUCAGAAACAAUUGGGUUUUUUGAGUCCACCAUGCCUGCAGGCUCCUUCCUUCUGUACCCCGCCUUUAAGAGCUUCAGCCUGAGAUUUGAGCUGGCUUGUAGCCAUGCCCAAGUGGACGCAAUACCUAAUAGUUUCCACCUGAUGAGCAAGAUGCUUUUCUGUUCUCUGAACAGAGUCAUGAGCCUGGUAGAUACAUCGCAACCUACUGAAUGAACAUGUCUAUGGCCUUCAAAGGAGAUAGCAUGAGACACGAGCUGGGACAGGAGAUAGGAUGAACCCUCACUCUGAAUCUUCUCCCACAGGUUUACCAUGGGUUCCAAGUGGUGGACAAACCUAACGUUCAGAUUUAGUUGCACACUUGACAAAAUUUAAUAUAUAAGUCUGAAUACAGAGUUCUGUCUGAAGAAGUAAUGCUGUGGAUAAAAUUCACUUUACUGAAUUUAGCUUCCCAAAUGAGUUACUGAAUAGUCACUCACAUUUGCCUCGAUGAUAGUUUUAAGGGAAGUUGUUUGUCAUGCUAAUAUAUCUUUCCUUCACACAAAAGCAGAUAUACAUACAGUUUUGUACGGGAUACUAACAAUCUAUAUAUAUAAACUGAUGUUAUUACCAGAGUCACUAUGUAUAUGUUGGCAAUUACAUAUGUUUUUCUUCUUUUGCUAUAUAAAUUUCCUCUCCCUAAUAAAGUGUGGAAGGUUUCCCAAAGAGUUUAAGAACCCAGAAUCACUGAAGUGUAGCUGUUAAAACAAGCUAAACUGGUUUAACUUCUGAGCUGUCAGACUUAAUUUGAAAUGACGAGAUCUGACCACUGUUUUCAUGUGAAUUUCUAAAAUUAGGUCAUUUCCAAAGAUAUGCAAUAAAUACAAGAAAGAAUGUCAAAGUUCAGGGGGGGUUGUCCUGAUUUGCUUUCUUAAAUGAAAUUAAGUGGCAAAACCAUUGACUUAUUAAAAUAAUAUAAAAAAUAGUUAAAACAGUUAAACAUACUAAUAACCCAUGAAGAGUAGUGUUCCUGUAAUUAAAAAAAGAUAAUUUUCAAAAGGUAUUUUAACAUUAAUUUUUUUAAAAAUAUCUAGCUCAAUCUUCUUUUUUUUUUUCUUCAGGCAGUUAAAGCGAAUGCAUAUGGCAUGAAAAUCUGUUAAAACAUAGUACUUUACACCUUUCUUUGUACCUGCUCCAAAUAUAUUUGUCUAUAAAUUAACUGCACAUGGUGGUUUUCACAUUGGCUUAUUUUAUCCCUGUGUGCAAGAAAUUUAAUACAUCAUUUGUGUUCCAUCAAUUACAGUUCUAUUCAGCGGACAAAAAGAGGAGGGGUAUAAACAUACCUACGUAUUUUUGCAUUUUUAUAUGCAAUUUAUGCCCAAGACAUCAACUGUAUAUAAAAAAGGUAAAAAAGUAACCCUGUACUUGUACCACAUCUCUGAAGAGCUGAACUCCCUUAAAAUACCAAUGUAUUAAGCAUCAAGAAGUGAUGUCAUAGUUAUGUACGGUUAGUCUCAUUUUACAGACAGAAGAACCGAGCUAUGGCUUUAGUGGUCUGCAGGGUAGGUAGUCUUCUAGAAAGAUCCACACAAUAAUUUCAUGGUCUUCGUCUCAACAUCAACCAUCAUCUCUUGGCCUGUACAGUAAGGUUGUGUUAUACCCACAUGCUCUCCAGUAGCAACUAGUACUCAUGUCAGCAGCUAAACAAUACUACUAGGAGUUUCUCCUCAAGGAAAUCCACAAAUCUCAGAACAGAGCCCAGAUAUUCCUGAUACAGAAUAUGCUCUAAAGACAUCACAAGCCUCCCUCCUGCUCCUGUGAGCCAGGGUCCCUAUUUAAGAACGGCUGUAUCACAGAACACCCCAGGUUCUCCACCACCUCCCUCAACACACACUUCCAUCCAAAGUGGGAUGGAUGUUUAUUACAUGUGGGUUGGGUCACCUCACCCCUCUCUUUUAAUUUUAGUGCAUGUGAAAUUUGCCAUAUGGACAGCUCUGAAGACUGAAGUCCUUCACUUACUUGUAAGAGCAGUAGAGCACAAUCACUUCCAUUACUGUUACUUUAAUGCAUCUCAUCCCUUGACGUAAUUUUUUAGGAAGACAGGAAAACUGAGCUAGAUGACCAAGUCUAGUUCCCAGCUCCUGCAGACCACGCAUUCAUUUUCGCAGGCUAAUCAAACCACAGCUAAAACUACCUGGCUUAGGGGGAAAUCUCUCCGUUUCCACCACUGCUCCUAUUUCCAGGUUGCUUUGAGACUCACUCUUUGAACAGUUAGAAGAUUUGUUCUCACUUCCACUCUUAAUUUAGCCUCGUGUUAUUGCACCAGCAAUAUCCUUGGUAUUACAGACAGGCAAGAGAAUUCAGAUACUUCUUUCCAUUCACUCUUUGCACUGGAAGCUUCAUCUUUCUUGGUAGUUAGGCUAUGAGCAGAAAUCUCAUUUCAUAUCACCCUUUCUAUUAUAUCAGCCUGCUCUGGAUUCAGACAGAAGGUUGAGACUUAAACUCUGCAUCUCUUCGCCUGAUACAAUGCUAGAUGGUACACUUAUUUUAAAAAGUUACAUAUAGAAAAGGUUAAUGCCACAAUCCUUCAAAAAACUUGCCUAAAUGCUUAAUUUUAGGCAUACAAAUAGUUCCAUUAAAUUCCAAUCACUCAAGCCCAUUGAAUUCAAUGUGCCUAUGCCCAUGACUAAAUUAUAAGGCACAGGAUUGUGGAUGUAGAGAUCAUUAUACAUGACACAAUUUGGUGGGUCCUCACAUAAAUCAGAUAAGCAAAUCCCUUCUGCUCAUGUUUGCAGAGUGCAGAAUGCUUGCAACCUGGAUCUCUUGAGAUGAAAACAGGGAAAAGUGGCCAAAUAUCUCAGGCACUAUGGCAAAUUUGUAACCAUGGCCUCAACUAUUCAGUGUGGUCACUUUUUAAGAAAAAAAUAUGCUAUAAACAAAACUCAGUUCAGCUUCUUGGUACUACUUAUAGGACAAGAUCCAUGUUCCAAAUUUUAACUCAGUAAGCCCUGCCUAGAGAGUGGAAAUAAUGUCUUUAGGAGCUUCCUUUAAUUUUCUCUUCAAAGCUUAAUUAUAUUACAGGAAAUAUUUGGCUAAGGUGUGGCUAUUCAUCAUGAUAUCUAUAUUAACAGCAUGAUCAGAGAGAUUUCUGUCAAUUUUUCAUUUUAACCUGGCUUUUACUUUCAUAAUAUAAUUAUAUCCCCUCAUUCCAUUUAUGAUAUAAGAAGAAAUUACAUCUUUUAAUUUUCUUUUACUAAAAUAAAAGCUUUUUCUUUAAAAACCUAUGUUGUAGUGGGCAACAUAUUUAGAGCUUACGAUCAGCAAUUUCUCUAAAGAGGAAGAUUUAAGGAAAAAAGUGGCUCUAAAAGUAAUUUCAGCAGCAAAGUAGAUUAAAUAUCCACCAUAUUAGUCACAGAGUAUUAGAUGGAAUUGGAUUGACUGGGAAGAGGUCAAAGAGUUGCUGAAGGUUUUAGCCCACCAGAGGAGCAAUAAAAUUCAACCAUACUUAAAGUCAUUAGCUUUAAACCCUUUGAUAUUAGAUCAGAACCUCCAGUGCUCACAGAAGGAACCUCCAAGCACCAUGCCAAGCCAAAAGGAAACCCUUUAAGAAGUCUACAUUUCACGGAAACCUUUAAGUGAAGUAGAGAAGUGAAGAUAGAAAGAACCUGCACACACGAGAAAGACCAGGACACAAAUAGAGGGAAGAGGAAAAUGCAGCCUUUAAAGAAAGUUAUUUUAUAAAAUCACAGUAUGGUCACUUUAACAAGUUCUAGUGGGGCCUGUGGUCCAUUUUUAGCUAGCAAAUAACCCACCCACCAAUUCCUGCACACUUCCUCCACUUUGCUUCCUUGCUCCCAGUACCACUGCUUACUUCUCCCUUUCGUUUCUCACAAUGACAAGGCGCAUUUCCCCUCACAAAGAAGGGCUGCAUUUGCCGAGCCAGUAUGGCACCAAAACAAGACAAUCAGACAUCUGAAUUGUAUGACAUGAUAAAGAAAAGAUGCUACAUGCUGACAGCAAGGCAAGGAGGAAAUCUAAAAACUCAGAAGUCAUCUAACAUAGAGACAAUCCAAAAGAAAAAGAAAAAGGCAGAGGAGUAAUUAAAAACCCUGAAGACAGUGAUGGGUCUCAAGUUUUUGAACUGGCUCCCUAUUUAAUAGAAAGGAUGGUUUCCACCCAAGCGAAGAGAAAUAAAAGAGAGACUUCGCUGUAACUAAUAACCAACUGACAUAUUUCUGUUGGUUUUGUACAUUUUUUCACUCAUUUUGAAAAUGACAGGUAUAAUUAAAGUUGUUAAAUACAUCGAGAGACUUGUCAGUCAACUAAAAUAUCAACUCUUAUAAAUUCCCCACAAUAAGUACUGCACACAGCACAAUGCAAAAGAAAUUAAUCUCUCACUAGAAAGAUUUAGUCAUUUGAUGAUCCUUUAAAAAAAAAAAAUCCCAGAUUUUCUAUUUUGUGGGGCAAAAUGAACUUUUCUUCAUGUGUUUGUGAAUAUAAAAUGUAUGUAUUUAACUUCUGUAGUAUAGCAAAAUGAAAAUCUCAAGAAGAAUUUUGGUGCUUAUUCUGAAAUAUUUGGGGGGUUAAUUUUAAUGCAUGUCCUUCAUCAGUGUUUUUGCACAGGUAUUUCUUUUGUUUUAUCCUUCAUGAAAAAUAAAGGGGAUGCUCCAGAAAGUUGCCUUUUAGGGGCAAGUUCCAGUGGACAAAAUUUGGCUCUACCAUAGAUCUCAAACUAAAUUAAACAGGACCUAAGUGAUACUUAAGCCUUGCGUUAGCUACGUA